rnacentral:rRNA from 1 species
UACGUAGGGCGCAAGCGUUGUCCGGAAUUAUUGGGCGUAAAGAGCUCGUAGGCGGUCUGUCGCGUCCGUUGUGAAAACUCGAGGCUCAACCUCGGGUCUGCAGUCGAUACGGGCGGACUGGAGUUCGGCAGGGGAGACUGGAAUUCCUGGUGUAGCGGUGAAAUGCGCAGAUAUCAGGAGGAACACCGGUGGCGAAGGCGGGUCUCUGGGCCGAUACUGACGCUGAGGAGCGAAAGCGUGGGGAGCGAACAGG